rnacentral:rRNA from 1 species
GACGAACCGAGCGAACGUUAUUCGGAAUCACUGGGCUUAAAGGGCGCGUAGGCGGGUCAGCAAGUCAGGGGUGAAAGCCCCCAGCUCAACUGGGGAAGUGCCUUUGAUACUGCUGAUCUCGAGGGAGGUAGGGGCGUGCGGAACUUCCGGUGGAGCGGUGAAAUGCGUAGAUAUCGGAAGGAACACCGGUGGCGAAAGCGGCGCGCUGGACCUCUUCUGACGCUGAGGCGCGAAAGCCAGGGGAGCAAACGGG